CUCUUUUGGAGCCUGGGCCUGAGAUGGAGUAGGUAACCCCGGCGGUAACUGCCUGAACCACUCCUGCUGGCUGCAAAGCCAAGUCCUUCUCAACUUCAGCAUCCCAGGAUGAGAGAGAUCCAAAGAGAGACAGGGCCCCAGAGAUCUUGACACAUUGAGACACUCAGAGUGGCUGGGCCAGAACUCCAGGAGACCCAUAAACUCAGGAACACAGCCAGGGAACCCAGGAACAAAUAGAAAGUCGAAGCAGCAGAGACUGUGAAAGACAUGGAAUGUGGAAUGGAGCACACUGAAGUGUGUGUGUGUGGCUCUGAUGUCCACUGAUGUGCAAAGUCAGCUGCGCUGUCACUUCCUCAGAACAGCCUUGCUUCUACUCCUAAACCAGGUAAGCCUCCCCUACCGUAUGCACUCCUGGCAUCAGGAACACCUCCUUAGUUGGACUUAUUAACACUUGUAAUUUUCUAUUGAUG